UUUUGUCUGGUUUGGGAAAAAAAAAAAGUGGGGGGUGUUGGCGCCUUCCCUCCUCUCUCCCCCCUCCCCUCUGCAGGAACCCGAGGAAGACAAGAGACCGAGGUUUCCCCGCCGCCAAAUGGAGGCGCAGAAAGAGAACAUGCCGCGACGAGACCGCACCGAGGAGGAGAACGCGGAAGCCAGCGAGGCCUCGACUUUCUGUCAGAGUAAGCAGUGCUGCAAAUUUGAUCUUCAAGAAGAAAAUAAUACAAAAUCUAAUUCAAGUGAUUUCAGCGAUCCAAUCUACAAAGAGAUUUCUCUGACAAAUGGUUACAUCAAUAGAAUGACUAGAGAUGAGCUGAGAGCUAAACUUGCUGAAUUCAGACUUGACACCAGAGGAGUAAAAGACGUAUUAAAGAAGAGGCUGAAAAAUUACUAUAAGAAAGAAAAAUUAAUGCACAAGCAACCUCCAAAUGCAGAAGACUACUACAAUUAUAUCUGUGUUAUUGACUUUGAAGCAACUUGUGAAGAAAAAAAUCAGCCUGAAUUUACACAUGAAAUAAUCGAAUUUCCUAUUGUUUUACUAAAUACUCAGACAUUACAAAUAGAAGACACUUUCCAGCAAUAUGUGAAACCAGAGAUUAAUCCUCAACUCUCAGAUUUCUGCAUUAAUUUGACAGGAAUCUCUCAGGAACUGGUAGAGAAAGCUGAUGAAUUCCCAAAAGUUCUGCAACGUGUUGUAGACUGGAUGAAACAGAAAGAACUAGGAAGCAAAUACAGCUAUUCCAUAUUAACAGAUGGGUCCUGGGAUAUGAGUAAAUUUUUAAAUAUCCAGUGUCAUAUUAGUCGUCUGAAGUAUCCUUCUUUUGCUAAGAAGUGGAUUAAUAUCCGCAAAUCCUAUGGAAACUUCUACAAGGUUCCUAGAUGCCAAACAAAGCUGUCAACCAUGUUGGAAAAACUUGGGAUGGACUAUGAUGGACGGCCUCACAGUGGGCUGGAUGAUUCCAAGAACAUUGCAAGAAUAGCCAUUCGAAUGCUUCAGGAUGGAUGUGAACUCCGUGUAAAUGAGAGGCUGCACGGCGGGUAUCUGCUAGCAGUCCCUUCCUCGACUCCAAUAGAGGGCGCUCCAAUCCCACAGAUGCCGAGGUUUCGAUAAAUAUUAGGAAUCUGAGCUGUAACAGAAUGUGUUGACAUUGAAGACACAGGAAAAUGAAUAAGAGAUGACAAAUUGAAUUCUGCAACAGAUUUGCCCCAGUCCUGCAACAGUCCUGCAACAGAUUCGCCCCAGUCUGUAGAUCCACGACUGGCUGUUGAUGUGCUAUGCAGAGGGUAGCAGAGAUGAAGGAACCAGCCAACCACUUUGCCAGCAGACUCUGCAACCUCAAAAACUGUCUCAGUACAGCCUACAAUUGUCCUCACACAGAAGAAAACUUGGACUGAGGCACCCAACUCUCCCUUGCCCUGACCAAUAAGGAAGUACAAGAAAUGGGUCCCUCCUGGCCUCAUCCUGUGUCUGCUUUUGGAGCUAGGAAGGAUGGGAGUCCAUAAGCGGAGCUUUGAUAGAAAUCUGGCUAAUGAAAAAACCAUUUGCACACAAUCUCACAAUCAUCAAAAACCUCACUUUUAAGACUUUGGAUUCAGCUGCCAAAAGUUAUGUAUUUUUAUGCAUUACAGAAUUUUGAAUCUGCCAACAUCUUUCUCUUUAUUUAUUUAUUUAUUUUUCAAAUUUAUAUUUAACACUUUAAAAAAAAAUGUUUUUAAUAGCUUUGUUAUUGUUCUUUUAAUUUUGAGGCCAAACAUAUAUAUAUAUCUUUUUAAAUUGGUUUUAAUGUUUGUAUUUAUGUUUUUACUUUGGCUGUACACCGCCCUGAGUCCUUCGGGAGAAGGGCGGUAUAUAAAUUUGAAAAAUAAAUAAAUAAACAUCUUUCUCUUAAUGCAUGGAUGCUGCCAUUUUGGAUAUUCUAAAUAUAGGCCCAAUUUUAAAAGGCACUUUAAAAAGACAGUGGCUAAGUAAAGCAAAACAGAAUGAUCACAAUUGUGUUGUAGGACAUUUCUGUUCAUUCCCAUCUCAAAAUCAUCUUACGCAUAGCCCUACCUCUCUAGGCUUUAAGAUUUAAUUCUUGAAAUCUUCACUACAUAAUAUAUCCUCACUUAUAAGAUUAUUCUUUGUAUGCUUGGUAGAGUAAGAAUAAAAAUGGCUUUAUCUCUCAACCAAGAAAUUGGAUAUUUAGACAGUCAGAAAGUAUAGGACAAAGCAGGUAAGGAAAGGAUAGUGAACAGAAGUAUUUGUAUAAGGGGUCAAAAAAAGUCCAGUUAGUACUUCCAUCCAAAUUACUGAAGCCCACACCCUUUUUUUUUACAUGCACAUCAGAAAGGGCAAGGCUUUGAUUGUAUAGCUGUGGCUGCCAUCUUGACUUUUUUUAAAGUCUCCCUGAAGAUUCCCUGAUAGUGGAUAGAGAUUGAUGUGGCUACAGAUGUUUAUUUUUCAUUAAAUUCUGGGAGGAUAAAAUGAUAAUAAAGGAAAGAGAAGGGUAGAGAGAUUGCAUAGAUCAAUGGAAAUUCUGAUGUAUGAAGGAAUAAAGGAAAAUAAGACAUUUUUGAAAGAACAAGACACCAGGUUAGCAGAAGAGGGGAGACUACCUUUGGGAACGGGGCUUAGGUGAGAGAAAGAUGUACAAAAAAGGCAACAGCAAGACAUUUGUAUUAGAAACAGGAGGGAAUGGGAAGACAGGAAAGGAAUUUUUAAAGAGCCAUUGCUUGCUAUAAACAUCAUGAGAGAAGUUAAUGUUUUUGCUAAUGGAGUUCUCUACAGAGACAAGAAGAUUUAAAGAGCCAAAAAUAAUAGCUACUGACCAUGCUAGUUGAGGAUUAUGGGAGUUGUAUAUCAACCCAUUUGAAGAGGAUUAUGGCAGGAAAAGCUGCAUUUGAAAUAUUAUUACUUUUCUCUGAGUUUUUUUCUACUUGCUAUAAAUCCUUCUUAAUACCAUGUUCGAAAUUAGGAUUGACAACAACUGUUACCCAGGAUGCUUUUAUCCACGGCCAUCCGCUAAAACGAAAGAAGCUACCGAGGAAUGCCAAAUGCUGCCCUUCGCAAAGAGAAUCGGUUACCAUGGUCUCCAGAUUAUGUUGUUAAAUAACCGGCAGGCCAACGCUAAUCCUUCAUAGACCCCCAUCUAAAAUUGGGUUGUGCCUUUUUCUUUGGCUCUUUAACUGCAUGAGCUGAAGGCCAACGGAGUUAAGAGUAAGAUUACCACUGCAUGCCAAAGCCACAUGUUGGGAUGCCACGUGCCUGCUCUCAUUUUCACUGGAUUAGGUUACUCUAAAUUGCAACAACCGUUUGCCCUCAGUUGCCUCUGCUGAGCAGGACUGUCCAAACAUCACAGUUCAGGUUCAAUUCUUAUAAUUACUGUGAAAUGACCCAGGGCUCCCCACCCUCAUCUCAUUUAGGGGUGAAACAGAACUAUGUAGUGUAAUAGAACAGCCCUGUGAUAUUACUCGCCUUUAGACCUGGCAAUCAAAAUCAAGGAAACAGAAAUAGAAAUCACUUUAAUAGGAACUCUUGUCUGCAGGCUAAAUGCAUGAGCAGAAAUAGCAUCAGAGAGGAAAACCUGGAAGAUGCUUCUUUCCAAAUAUGGAUUGGAUUCUUUUUUCUGAGCCAGAUAAAGUUAAAGAUGCUUCUUCUAGCAGACAAAACAUUCUAUCAUUCGUUUCCUAUAAGGUAUAAGAGAAUGAAUGCUCAAAUGUAAUUUCUUGGGGACUGGUGCGUACUUGGAAAAAGCUCUGUUGUCUUAAAAAUGGGGGAGAGGGGACAGAAGAAUGCCAGAUUUUUAUUUACAGAAAGAAAAAGCAAUAAAGGAUGUAUUCAGGUGAAUGGUGUAUCAUGUAAGGGACAUAUGCCAUGCAAGUAUUGUUGCCAGACCACUUGAUUUAGUAUAUUCCAGUGCAAGUUGGAGUCCAGAAAUGUUAACAUUUACCCCAGGGCCUAAAUGACAUAGCAAUAACACUGGCUCCCAUUGUAAUAGGGGAAUCAAUGUUCCAUUUACUAAAAAUGUUGGUUCACUCUCCACACUCUCUAUUAAAUGACACCCUGGUUAGCUCUGA